UUCUUAUUGGAGUAAGGAAUAACAGCACAAUGCAAAGAUUUCAAAUGUAAAUUUGAGAAUUCGUAUGUAAAGAAAGAGAAAAUUCCACCUCUUUAAAACACGAUUGCUAUAUGCAACCUUUACUUACUUUAAUACACCCCGUAAAAAACCAAAAAUACCCUUUACUGUUUUUUUUCUCUCUCCCGCUACCUGAAUUUCUCUCUGAAACUGAAACCCUUUUUGAAGAACGUAAAUUGGAAAAAAAAAAUUUGGUUUCCUCGGAAAAUCAGGCGUCCUUCAACACCAAUCAAUCUCAUAAAGAUUUCAGUCCCAAAAUCACUCAUCAAGAAUCUCCGCUACAAGGAGUGUCCGAGUAAAAGUAUCAGUUUCUCGCGUUGUUUCUUGAAGGGAAAUUCUCAUGUAAGCUUCAUGUAGCCUGUAAAGGUUUUGUUCAUUAUUCAGAGAAUGUUUGAUGACUAUCAGGAAGAGCUAGAGAGAGCAGAGAGAGACCUGAAAUGUUUGUGAUGUGGAAAGAAACUUGGUUGAUAGUGUACAACUUACAAAUGCAGCAGGACCAACCCCUGCAAGAAGACCAAAUACCAAAUACCAAAUACCAAAUACCAGCAUCAGGUCUGCAAACUGGUUUUGUUCAAUUUCAUAAUGGCAUGUGCCUAUAUUGUUUGUUCUACACGAAAUCUUGUGUACUAUUACAUGUAUUAUGAGUGAAAUAUGGUACACUAUUUCGUCCAAUGUAUACGAAAUAUUUAAUUAUGUUUUGUUCAAUUUGUAUGGAAUAUUUAGUUCUGUUAUGUUCAAUUUAUAUGAAAUGGUUAAUUAUAUUUUGUUCAA